UCUUUUGCUGCAUUGAGGAAGGAAAUUCUUUCCUGCUGAGGCUUCUAUUUUUUUGUUCCUGUGUAAAGCGAUUGAUGCUGGUGUGACUGCAGCAAACAAGGCCAUUCUAUUUAUACUCUUGUCUUGUUUGCAAACUAUUUGUUCAUGUCAUGGCUCAUAAAAGGCCUCUGAGAUUCUUCAUUUCUCACUUCUUUCACCUCUGCUGUUGUAGUUUAGCAGAUGAAUAUAUGGAGAUUAGAUGCAGCGAUUAAACAUACAAGUGAUCCUUUAUGUCAGCUGCAGGCAAUCUGAGGAUUUUAAAAUGAUCAGAGUUGGGCCAUUUGGUGUAUUAUAAGAUAUUUAGAAGACUUGACCUUUGUGUUUCCAAAAGAUGUGCACUUGGAAAGUUGUGGACACUAAUUCUCUGUGCAGGUAUCAUCUUUCCGAGUCAAGCAGGUCAAGCAAGUUCAGGAUCAACAGGUAAUCGGAUGGGAUGCUCAUCCUGUGAAGCUUGUGCUUUCUCUCUUGUUGAUUCCUAAAUGUCUAGAAAUGUUCCAGCAAAUGUCCCUUGGCAUCAACAAGAAAUCCAAAGAACAAACAUGCCGAAUUGGUUAGCUA